CAGGAACUGAAAUUAAGACAUGCUCAAAAGAAGGUAUAGAGUUCAUUGUGAUGUCAUAACCCAGGCACUUCCCAAAGUGAAACCGCAACCUAACAAUGAUGUCGGAGAAUGUAAAUAAAGCAGAGAAAAUAAGAGCAUGAACUUUAAUAGUAUUGGCUCAACCUCAAGGACAAAUACAUCUCUAGUUUCUGGCCCUGAAUCAAUUAUUUUAAUUAUGGAUGUCUGACAAGAAGAAUCCAGGACAUAAACAAGAAAAGACUAUUUAAAUAAAAUGGAAAACAGAUUUUGGGGUGCAUAAUACAAAAGUACUAUUAAUCAAAAGCUUGACUGUUGUAAGCUUUCAAUACUCAUGUUUUUAAUCCAAUUUUCACUUCCAAAUAAUUGCACUUUCAGAGACAAAGACAAUUUAUAUAAUGAACACACU
ensembl:lncRNA